rnacentral:misc_RNA from 1 species
GAUGAAGAACGUAGCGAAAUGCGAUAAGUAAUGUGAAUUGCAGAAUCCAGUGAAUCAUCGAAUCUUUGAACGCACAUUGCGCCCGCCAGCAUUCUGGCGGGCAUGCCUGUUCGAGCGUCAUUUCAACCCUCGACCUCCCUUUGGGGAAGUCGGCGUUGGGGACCGGCAGCACACCGCCGGCCCUGAAAUGGAGUAGCGGCCCGUCCGCGGCGACCUCUGCGUAGUAAUCCAACUCGCACCGGAACCCCGACGCGGCCACGCCGUAAAACACCCAACUUCUGAACGUUGACCUCGAAUCAGGUAGGACUACCCGCUGAACUUAAGCAUAUCAAUAAGCGGAGGA